ensembl:lncRNA
CAGCGCUCGGGGCCGCGGCUGCUCCAGCGGAGCCUCACCGCGGGGAGAUGCUGCCCACCCGCUCGGGGCUGGUCGGACACAGACUGCAGAGAUGCCGCUUCAGCUCCAGAAAUAAUUCAUGGCAAUGGAAGGAGCGCCUAGAGGUGAGAGUGAGCACCUUGGUGGAAGCUGGAGCGUUACCCUCUCCUGCACCACAGAGAAGACCGGUCCUUCCCAUCAUAGAUCAACAGAUCUGAUGCUGUGGUGGAGCUCUGCACCUCAUUGUGGCUCUGGUAUAGUGCAUAGUAUUAAGAAGCAUACUUUAAAAAGAAGAAGAAGAAGAAGAAGGAAACAAAUACAAAAAUAAACUACAGCCUCAAAGUUGUUACUGCACUUCUUUCCUUUAGUCAUUGUAUCCAAUGUUUGGGUAGUCUGAAUGAUGUAAGACUCCAGGAAUUUUUUGCUGAAUGGGGAUUAUUAAAUGCACAGCAGUAAAAUAGUCAUCAUCCCUUUCAAAGAGAUAGAAGUUUGAUCAAUUGUAUUGCAAUGGCUUACAGCCAUAUGUUAUCUACAGUGACAUUCAUGAUCUAUUUUUGUUAUCCCCAAAAGGCCUUAAACCUAGCUAUUAUCAGCCAGCAUGUUAAACUUCUGGUCAGUAGAAAUCUGUUAGUGUCUUAGAAAGACAUGUAAUGUUGUCCUCUGGCCAGAUUCCAUUAUGGGUAACUACAGCUUUAUCUAUAUUCAAUGUAUGUAAUUGAGUGGCUGUGGUACGGCAUACUGUCAUUUGGCUUAAUUUCAAUCAACCAAGAUAAUUCUUCGCAUUUUCAUCUUGCUGUACGAAGUGAAACAGCUGCCACAUUCUUCUUCGUGGGGAAGCAUCCCAGAAUGGGUUGUCUCUUUUGAGAGGACAACAUAGCUUCCAAUUUGGCAGGUAAUAUUUAGCAACACCAAAUCCUUCCAUUUGUGGUUUCAUGUUGUUAGUUCAUUGCAGGAACUAAUAGACUGGUAUAGAUGUCAAACUAUCUGAUUUGUUAGUGUAGCUGGCAGGUUAACUGUCUAAGUCUGCCCACUUCUGCACACUGUGAGCAGUAAUUUCCAUUAAAAAAAAAAAAUUAAAAAAUCCAUGUUUAAAGAUUAGAUACACCAUUGGGAAAUUAAGAUCUUAUUGCUAAAUCAGACACACAGUGAAAGCAGGAGGUACUUAAUAAAUGCUUACAUCAAGAUUAUGGGGCCAACCCAAAGGCACAUAGAUAGUGGAGAAGAAGCUGAUACAGUCACUCAGCUAUCACUAUAAAAACAGCUCUUCAUGUUUUCAGUGACGUAGUGUAGGUCAGAAGAAAACUAUGCUACUAUGAAGAUAAAGAAGAUACAUUUUCAUUCCUUGUAGUUAUUAAAUGCAUUGUACUUUUUCAUACCUACCCCUCCUAAGCUGUUCACUGAGGGGAGGAAAACAAACAAACAAACAAAACCCAAUUUCCAUCACUCAUUACUUCCCAGAAGUUGGCAAAAUAUUAUACAACAUGAAAUCCUUAUUAUACCUUGCUUAAGAGCAUUUGAAAAUGGUAUGUGAAAUCCACAGUAGAUUAGAUGCUACUGCAAGGGCACCAAAAGCAAAGUAAAAGAAUUAGUGACCCAUCAGUAACAUCCAUGGCAUGUCAGAUGCGUACAGUAACAACACUUCAUCUGCAAAACACAUGCAGGACAGUAGUGCCAUACAGGUAGCAGUAACAUUAUGCAUAGAGUGGGAAGAAACCACAGCAAAUAUAACUUGUAUUUUCCCUAGAUUUUGUCUGAUCAGCAAAUCUCUAUGGUGUUGCCAGCAGUUCUACCUAUGCAGGGCAAGUAUUACCAUUCUCCAUGAAGACUUCCUGCCAUUUGAAAAUGUGUCAUUGAGUGCUUUCAGCAGAAGAAAGACUUUGGGCAGAAAACCUCCUCUUUUCUCCCCUAAGGUCAUUCUGCAUCUUUGGGGUUAUAUUGAGUGUUUGUGUGGUGCAGAAGAAUUUCAGAAACCCUCCCAAUAAAUAAUACUAAUGACCCGUAGCUUCAGGAGAACUACGAUUUGGAAGGGGAAGUCAGGUUGAAAGACAUGUCAUUAUAACAUUUCACGUUCUGCACCGUUCUCAGAUAUGUGGUAUGUCUUCUCAGCUUGGAGGCAAAGACCCCUGACCCUAUCCUCCAAAAUCCUCUCCAGUCAAAGAUUUGGCUUACAUACUGCAUUCAUCAAAGGAUUUGAACAGUGGGACACUGAAAAUUCAUGCUUUUACUACUUUCAGAGAAUAUGAGAAUUUUCUAUUUUGGGGAAAAUGUGUUCGCAUAUUUAAAAUAUGACAAAUACCAUAUGCUCACCUCAUAGCUUUGGCAGCGCUCAUUUCUCUCCAUGGGCAGACUUCAUGCUGUUAACAACACAAAAGUCUCAGAGUAUAAUGUGGUUCAGCCUGCAGGUAUGGCAUUUAUGAUUUGAGAGGGGAUGCUGUAAUCUUUGAGUUCCUGGAUAUGUGGAAAAUAUAACUGUGAUAAUUGACUUAAGCUAUUGUGAACCCAAGUACGGUUGACAGAAUAAAGUAAUGGAUAUCUGCAUGUCUCCAAAUUUAUUACCUUGAGACUGGUAAAGGUGUUUUCAGCAACAAGACUUGAACUGUCUCUUCCAUCUCACCAGGGCUUGGUUUCCUAUUUCAAGAGCAGUUAUCAGUACUUUGGUGAAAGCUCCAUUUGCUCAUGAUUAAAAUUUGGGUUCUGUAUGUCAUGGAGGUGGUACCUGAUGAGAACGUAAACUAUUCUUUUAAUCAUAUUUGGCAACAUUCAAGAUAUCUGCAAAGAAAAGUUAAACUGGCUCAGAUGUAGUAUGAAAUGAAUUCCACGCGUUUUCAAGGUAGGCAGGGUAAGAUCUGAGGUAGCAUUUCAUUUCACAGUCUCUCAAUCACCCUUUUAUUUAAUUAAUUUAUUUAUUUUGUCCAUGGCUAUUCUUCAUCAUCCUAUAACCCCUCUUGCAUCUGGUAGUUCUGCAGAACUAUUUGAGUCAAGGAUGCAUCAGAGUUACUGUAGUUUUCUGGCAUAUCAUUAAAAUAUGACUGAAAGUUCUUUCUAUAUAUUCACUGAAUUCUCUCUUCUUUUUGCUUUAUAUGUGAUAUUAAGAACAAAAAUGUGGAUUACUUAAAAGUGCAAGCACUCUUAAAUGUCCCAGAUUAUAUUCCUGAGUCCUAGAUCUCUGAUUCAGCACAAAGUUAUUUAAGAAUAAUUUUUAAAUUAUUUCUCUACUCCAAAUAUUUGCUGCCAACUCAAUGAAUUAGUUAUGUAUGUUAUUCUAAAAGACUUCAUAGGAGCUUAGAUGGCCAAGAUCAGGUCCAAGAGCACCUUGAAACAUCUGAAACACUUCAGUAUUUGGAUAAUUAUAUACGUUCGGGGCCAACCCACAUUUCUCUUUGGAAAGUGUUUCCCCUGCAUGGUUGCAGAAAACAGAUGGAUCAUAUGAUCUUUGCAUUUGGAAAGAUGGCAUAAUUCUGGCUGUCAGUUCUGUGAAGGGGGCUGAUUUCAGAUCCUUGUUAAGAAAAUAUGCAACUACACAGAGUGAUCUCAGUGGCAGAAUGUGAUCACUGGCGCCAGCUUUCAUGAAGAAUGUAGCACACUUGCAACUUGAAAUCUGAUGUACUGUGGCUGGAUUUAGCUCCAUUGGGUUUUGCAUUCAUUUUUCAAAUAAAUGUGUUUUAAAGAAGACUUCUUUUAUGUGUUUCAAGAGCUCCCUGUUCAUGAUUAGAAAGUAGAGUAGAGCAGUGGAGAAGUGGAAGAUGGAUGUGAAGGCCUUUGGGUCUGGUGGAGAUGUCAAGGCUUUGUUGGGUAUUUCCUUAUACUUGUGAAAGUUUCUCUGCAUAUUCUGUGUUGAAAUCUUAUACUUCUUAUUGCACUAUAUUUAUUAAAGAUGAGAGGUCUUUGCAACUGUCAUUUUCUCUAGAGACACUACUUGGACCCUUGAGAUUCAAUAUCCCUUCUCACUUUGCUCAGUGGCACUCUUGUACCCAGAUGUGCAAGCUUGGGAAGAAAUCUCAGGGCACUGUGAAAUGCACUACAGAUUUCCAGAAAUAUUGGGUGUGUGCAGUCGGAGCAUCAUAAUCAUCACUCCCAACUGAACAGAAAAGGGUUACCAUAGCUACAGAUCUUCAUUUCACUAUCAGGAUUCAAAGUAAUGGCUGUGGCUUCAGUUCUCAACUUUUAAUACCUUUAGUUUCAGCAGCAACCUAUGAAAAAACAGGACCUUGUUGUAGCUCAUCUUGGUCAUACAAAAAGCAAAUGAUCCCACAUGACUGGUUGUUUUGUAAACCCCUCUUUAACCAACCUUUCAUCCAGCUGAGAGAGAUCAUCUACCCCACAGGAGCAUGAGAUAUUCAGGCAGUGAGGACAUUUGGUGUGGAAUAGUUAUUACUGUAUCCUUCGUGGUACGUUCACCACUCUUUCUUCUGAUAGCAGCAUUUCAAUAGUAAGAAUUUGUUAGAAAUGUUGAAGAAUUCAUAAUACGUAAAAAAUACUAGGAAAAAAGAAAAAAAAGAAAAAUCAACAUUUGAACUAACUUCUCCUCCUUGUAUCAAUUUGUGCAUUUAUGGUGAAGUUCCUUCUCACACAGAUUUCUUCUUUGCAUUGUAG